GGGUUGUGAGGUUAAGCGACUAAGCGUACACGGUGGAUGCCCUGGCAGUCAGAGGCGAUGAAGGACGUGCUAAUCUGCGAUAAGCGUCGGUGAGGUGAUAUGAACCGUUAUAACCGGCGAUUUCCGAAUGGGGAAACCCAGUGUGUUUCGACACACUAUCAUUAACUGAAUCCAUAGGUUAAUGAGGCGAACCGGGGGAACUGAAACAUCUAAGUACCCCGAGGAAAAGAAAUCAACCGAGAUUCCCCCAGUAGCGGCGAGCGAACGGGGAGGAGCCCAGAGCCUGAAUCAGUGUGUGUGUUAGUGGAAGCGUCUGGAAAGGCGCGCGAUACAGGGUGACAG
rnacentral:rRNA from 1 species